rnacentral:lncRNA from 1 species
AUGGAGUUAUGCACUUACCUACAGCAAGAGCUUGCGUUCCAAAGAGGAACCGCGGAGAAACUAAAAUCUCAGGUAGUUUACUACACAGCCUGCAAAGCAGCGGCUACCAGCGGGCGGCUGGGCGGUACCAGCACAGUGGACCCAAACCGUGCAGAAGCAGGAGGUGGAAGCUGCACAACCCUGGAGGCAGGGCCCUGCCUUUGCACGUCCCGUUCAAUUCCAGCGGCUGGGGCUGCACCAAGGAAAUCAUCCAGUUCCGGUAGGGUCAGGGCUGGGGUCCGACUCCCAAUCCGGGGGAGGGGCCGCGUGACAGCGCUGGACCCGCGCCCAGCGCGUCCCGGCCCGGCCCCCGCCCUCCAACACGGCCACGCAGGGAGGCCGGGAGCUGCGGCGCGACCCGCCCGGAGCCUGCUGAGCGCCACCCGGAGGCCCGGCACCUGCGACUCUGCCUCCCCGCCGCAGCGCGGCUCCCCGGCGCCCGCGGAGCUGACAGCCCCACGGGAGCGUUUCCCCAGCCCCGGUUUCCAGGCUCCCUCCCGGGGAGAGAAGCGGUCCGGACGGCCGCGCCCCAAGGUCCCGGCCCCGCGCCCGCAGGCCGCGCCUCGCCCACCCGGCCCUGCACGAGACCCUGCGAAGGGCACUUACAGGACUCGGCUUGUCCUGCGCCAGCGCGUUCCCCCCGGGGGUCCAUGGCGCUUCCGGACCCGCGAGUCCGGUCGCAGCGCCGCACAGCACCGCCCAGAAAAUGGACGCCGGCGGCUCGGCUCAGCCGGCCCGGCCCGCCCCCGGCGCGGGGCAGAGGACGCAGCCCGUCCGGGAAGAGGUCGGCCCGACCCCCAGGCCCGCGGGCUGGGGAGCAGGGCGGGGGAAGGGGGUCGUCGCGCCUCGGACGCGGCCUGGGAGUGCGGUCGGGGCCCCCACGACGACCCGCGAGGCCCCAGGCCCGAGGCAGAGGGCAACAGGGGGCCCCCACGAGACCCUCGUCGCCUCCCACCGCCACUUCCCGCGAGGCCCCGAUUUGGAACCUGCCAGGGUAGCCCAGUUGGGCCACAGAGCCUACUCACCGUCAGCACGGGGCCGGGGGCCGCAGGGUUUUCCCUGGGCUCUCGACCCAAACCCCGCACACUUGCAAGCGCAUGGCACACAGAAAAAUCCCGUGAGGUUUUCAGGGCAUUCAGUUGUCUGGAAUAG